CUGUGAAUUGGAUAUUACAAUGAAGUUGUUUGCCAUAAAUUUUGAAGAUUUAGACGGUGGCUAGAAUUUUUAUCAGUUUUCUGGACUUUGUGAUUUAUGCUUUUUUUCUUGCUUAAGCUAUUCCCCUUCGCUUCAGUGUCUCGAGGCUUCGAUGCAAAUAUGAGGAAGGGAUAGGUGAUUAAUAUAACUUGGGAAUAUUUUGACUUAUAUGAUGGUUGAAGUGUAUAAUUUAAUGUGCACAGUAUGGGUCAAUUUAUGUUGGUUUCAACUGAAGAUAUUGAGACUGGAGUUUGCAAAUUGUGCU
rnacentral:misc_RNA from 1 species